rnacentral:lncRNA from 1 species
GAUUGGCGAUGCUUUAUUCUUUCAGAAGUCUUUCCUCCCUUCUCUUGGGAAACUCUACUCCGGGAGUGUUUACUGUCCCUGGGGAUGAAUUACAUCUUUGUACACUAGUUCUUUAGCGAUGUCAAGUUCACCUCGCUUCUCCACCCCCCUCUUCAGGUCAGCAUUUACAAAUAAACACUUUCCAUAUUUUAAAUUUUCUCUUUCCCUACUAGUUUUUAUGCGGUUUAGCAUCUCCAGUUUUUUCCCCUCCAGGUGGACUGGGAUUUAGUUUUGUAUUGGUCCCUCUUUUUGUUUUGUAAACGACUUUAUUGUUUGGGAAACCUUAGGGGAGGUGAACAAGCUCUUUGGUAAGUUCCAGUGGAUCUAUGGGAAUAACAAUGUGGAAUAUUUUACACAUUUUCUUCACUUUUAAAAAAAACUUUGACUUUUAUGUAUUCACUUCAAUUUAAGAAUCCUGACCUUGUAGCCUUUGUAAGCUAAGCCUUUAUUAUUAUUAUUAUUAUUAUUAUUAUUAUUAUUAUUAUUAUUAUUUCCUAAGCCUCACCAUCUUACACAUUUCUCCCUUUUCCUCCGCCCCCCUUUCUACCCCAGACUCCCCCCCUUUCUACCCCAGACUCUUCCAUCUCAGAAGUCACAUUCCUAUUCCUACACUGUCCCAAUUGGGGACACCUCCCUCUGCUUCCAAAGUCAGCUGAGAUAGGAAGGUCAGAGUGUCCUCCAACUUUUAAUUUUAGGUUGAAUUUCUUUUCAUUUGUCUGUUCUUUGGCACACAGAGUUGAAUUUUUAGUUCUUGUUGUUUUUUUUUUUUUCCCUUAAGUUUUAGAAAAAUGCAAGCAAGUUUCAUUUCUGCCUAUUGGGCCUUUUAUCUUCUGCGGGAGAACUCCCAGAAGAGAAAUACAGUGUUUACUUUCACUUUACAUUUGAUCAAGCUGGUGUCUGCAGAGGUGGGGGUAUUCCUUUUGUGUUUGUUUUUUAGACAACAUUUUACUAUGUAGCCCUGUCUGGCCUGAAAGUCAACUAUGUAGACCAGGCUGGCCUCCAACUCUCAGAGAUCACCUGCCUGUGCCUAUAUAAGUGCUGGGAUUAAAAAUGUAUGCCAUCACUCCUGGCUAAUUCUUCCUUUUUAAAGAUGUUACUAAGAAGGUAAACUGAUAAAUGUGAAAUCUAGAGUUCUAAUCUAUUCAGAAUUAUUGAAGCUACAAAAGUAAGAUUGCAAGAGUAACUCACGCUCUGGGAAGAUGGGAAGAUGGCCCAGGUGACUGUAUGUCCCUUGUGCCUCUGUGCUGGGCAGAAGAAGAGGAGCUGCUCCUCCCUCUGGUCCCAGCUCCAUUGUCACAUUGACAUUCUGGGCACAUGUGGCCCAGCCCCCACCGGCUCCUCCAAGUAUGAAUCUAAAUUACUAUUAAUAAGGGGCUGCUCCAAGCUAAUUGGCAUUAAAAGAAUUCAUUUCAAUUUGUUAAUAUUAAAUGAACACUCUGCACUUUAGCUCCCUUCCUCGCCCUGGAUUCCCAGAUGAGUGAUGGGAAGCAGGGCGGGGGAGCAGGCAGGAUUUUAUGUCUGGCUUUCUAGCUUGGCCACUGUUGGGCCUUCCCUGGUGUUGUGAGACCAGGCAAGGUGGAGGCCUGAUGGGGGGAAAUCCAAGGGUCUUAUUCUUUAUCAUCCUGUAAAGCGGGAGCUGUGGGUAAGGGUGAGUGAAGGGGGUCAAAAGAGAGACAUAAAAAGGUUUAGGGGAUAGUGUGGUGGAAAAAGUGGCUAGGAGACUGGGAAGGUAAGUCAAUGGGCUGAAUAGAAAUUUGAAAACACAAGGGUUGUGGGCAAUGGGUGAGAUGGAUUUAGGAAGAAAGGCCCGUGCAGCUGAAAAUCUGACCCCAGGCUUAGGGCAAGCAGCCGGGGUUUUGCAGCUGCUAGCAAGGGACCCUGGACUUUUCUAUCAUUUCAGUUUCUUGGUCUGUGAAGCAAGGAUUAUAAAAUGAAGGAUAUGUCUUAGGGUUGUCUGAGAUUCCAUGAAACACACAUGAUGUGUUCUGCAGCAUGCUGGGUACAUAGGUAACACUACUACAUGUUGCCUCACUUUCUGAUCCAGUAAUUGAUGGAUUGGACUCUCAGACCUGCCUUGAAUUAGUUGUAUGCUCUCCAAGCAAUUAUUUGAGCAGUGCAUGCCUGUUUUCUUAUUGGUAUCAGAGUCAAUAGCUUCUGGGCUCAGGCAUGGAAGAUAGAAGGGAAUUUCAGUGCAAAGUGCCUGGAACAACUCAAGUCUCAUCAUGCUACAUGAAAGCUGCUAUGGACAAUGUUGCCCUUUGGGUGAGCAAGGUGAGAAUAAGCAGGUUGAGAAGGCUCCCCACAGCUAUAUAAGGAGCUGCACAUUGAAAGUUGAGUUCUAAUCUUUUUUCCUUUAUUAUAGAAAAAAAUAUAUAUACAAGAUGGUUAGAUGCUUAAACUAUAGUAGCCAUGAAGACUUUUCUUUUGGGUUUUGAGACAGGAUCUCUUGCAGCCCAAGCUGGCCUAAAACUUGCAAUGAAACAAUCAAAGGGUGACCUUGAACUUCUGGUUCACCUGACUCUGCUUCUCAAGUGCUGGGCUUACAGGUAGGAGCCACCAUGACUAGUCUAUAGAAACAUAGCUUAAUGUCUUCCUGUGCUGUACUUCUGAAGGAGGCAGUAAAAGAAUUCAACCUGAAAGGAAAGGCAGUACACAUGUAAAGUCAGGUGGAGGAUGGGGCCAGAUCACUACAGCAGAUGGAGUGGCAUGUGGGUGGGUGGGUGGGAGAUAGUAUUCUGAUAUUCCAUCUGAGAAGAUUUCCCAGAGGAGGUAACUAUAGGUUAGGAUUCCAGUGGAUGUGAAAGAUAAUAGGAAUAGAAAAAUAUAGGGAAGAAGUUAUACAUUGAUGAGAAAGAGGAAGAAUCAUGCCAAGGCCGGCUAAGAGUAGGGAGAUAAAGCAUAAUUGUCUUGCUGACACCAAAUCAAAGUAAUCACCACUCACUGAAGGCAUACUGUGUGCAAGGCACAUAAGAUUGUGCAAGGUACAUAAGAAUCACUACUCACUGAGGGGUUAGCAGUGGGCAAGACUAUGUGAGGGAGUUGCGGUCAGACAGUGGAGACAGGAACUGUUCUCAUAUCUACAUGAAGAAGGAUGAAGGAAUGCUCUAUGGACAGAGCUGCUAAGUUACUCUUCUGGGACUGCUGUUUGUGGAUGAAUCACAGGGCCCUGACUGGGCUGCAACACUUCCAGGGCCUUCUAUUCCAACACCUCUUCCAGCGACCUGGUCAGGUGUGGCCAAUGGAAGCAAGAGCCCAGUGAAGUCGCCUAAGUCCGAGGGCAUGGUGUAACUCACACGGAGCACAACCCUACUUGGAAUGGACCAUUCGUGGCUUUAGAAUCUUGAUGGACACGAGCAACUGUCGGCACAAUCUAUUUAAGAGUAUUCUGAGCCCUCAGAGAGCAGCCUUCUGCCCACAGGUGACCAAAUCCUUAUCCUCAAUAACCCUUCUAACUGAGCAGCCAACGAGCUGCCCUCUACCUAUUCAGGACAGCCUAGGAAUGGCUUCAUGCAGUAGGUGGCCUUCUGUGAUUGGCUCCUUUUCCUUGGUUCUUAUGCGUUGCUGUGUCAAAGCACGCAUCCAUUCUCCUUCCUUCUCAUGGAUGAGUUACUUCAACGGUAGACAGACCACCUUCCAGGUAUGUGUUCAUCAGUACAUGGGCAUUUAGGUUGUUCCCAUGUCCAGAAAUUAUGAUUUUCUAUGUCUCUAGACAGUUUGAAUCAUCUAGAGUGAGCUCUGCAGCCAGGAACAGGCCUGACUUAUGUGUGGGAACCUCCAGUGUCCAUGGAAGCCAGGCUUUUGCACCUGGUCCAGGUGCUUCUCCCCUGGUUACAUUGCUGAGGAUGGCCAUUGACCCAGCAGCUCUCUAUUUGUCCCCUUGCUGUCCUCAGACCCCUCUCCUGCAGCUUCAGAGUCUGAGUGGAGAAACAGGAAUACUUCCCCAAGAUUGGCCCCAUGUAAUCCUCUAUGUGUGCUACUGGUAAAUGGAAACCUUCGGGCCAAGGGAAAGUCAAGUUCUUGAGGGUGUGUCUGCUUCAGAGUCCAGGUCUCCUUCCCAUGUCCCACCUCACUUCUCUCAGUCUACUCUUUCUUCUGCUGACACCAGAAACUGCCCUACCUGCAUCAAUCCUAACAUACCAGUGGGACCAGCAGGAUGCAUACAAGAAGUCCAAAUAGUGCCAGGUUGCAUUUGUUGAAUGAGUGGAUGAGGGAUGAUUCCAUACUCUGGAAAUAAACUGUGGAGAAGGUCAGUUAUAAAUCUCUAUCUAUUACUACCCCUUUCCUAGUCUGGAAAUCAGCAUUUUCCUCACAAAGGUGGGUGAAGAAAGCACAAAAUGCUACCUCUAUAAUAGCUGCUAUUUAUUGGACCGGCAUUUAUAUGUCUGAUUGGUUUCAUAUCUCUCUCUCUCUCUCUCUCUCUCUCUCUCUCUCUCUCUCCCUCUCUCAGGCAAAGUUUCACAUAGCCCAGGCUGACCUGGAAUUUUCACAAUGUGACCGAGAAUAACCUUGAGCUUUUGAUCCUCCUGUUUCUAAUCCCAAGUGCUGGGAUCACAGGUGUGUGCGGAGACACUUGAUUUACUUGGUGCUGGGAAUAAAACCCAAGGCUUCUUGCACACUAUUCUACCGACUUCGCCAACAUGCUUUUCACCUCCUGAGCAAGUAUAAUAAAACUCAUUUUAAUUUCUC